rnacentral:lncRNA from 1 species
CUGGCAUCAUGAUGUCAUUGGCAUAGUGAUUGGCAUGCAAGAGAUAAAUGAUUCUCUGAUUUAGAGGCAAACAGGCAGAAUGACUAUUUCUGCACUAAUGCCUGGGAAUACUUCCCUCCAGAUUCACAAUAACUCAGAUCUGAUAAUUGUCAAGGUAUGGUGCUGAGGACAGCUGUUGGACUACUGAAGACAUUGUAAAGGUUUGUUCUGAAUCAGCAAACAGGUAAAGGAACGAUGAAAUCACAAGCUGGACAGAUUAUUCUGGUAGACCUUUCUUCUUGAAACCUUGUGACUUCCACCCAGCACUUGAAAGGAAAGAUUCUUAUCAGUGAGUGAGUUCUGCUGCCGACUACUGUAUGGUGGGACUAUGCAUUUUAUUGGAGAUCCUUGCUUUGGCUUCUUCUUGGAUUUUCUUGCAGUGAUGUUUAGAAUGAGUGCUAGACCAAAACACAAAGCCAGAACUUUUCAAUGUCUGUACCUAACAAUAGUCAUGGAGGUGAAGAAUACUUGCAUCUAAAAGGUAUUUACAUAUUCAGUUGAAAUAGAGGAUGACAUCUUUGCAUAGUUUUCCUUGCUUUGUAUAAAAGCAGUUUUGAAAAUACAGCUAAUCCAAGGUUUUCAAUAUUAAGGAGAAAUGGCAGCUAAACAGGAUAAUUUCAUUUUCUC